GUAAGUUUCCAGAAGCCUCCCAGAAGCUGAGCAGAUGCCAGCGUCAUGCCUCCUGUGCAGCCUGCAGAACCGGAAUGGGGCAAAGGGAAGCAGCAGCUGGAGGCCAGCGGCUUGCCAGCAGCAGAGCUGGCAUUCGGCACACAGCUGCAGUUCUCAGGGCAUGGGCAGCCCCACAUGGCACCACCACGGGGAAAAUGUCCCGAUGGAGGAGGUUCACAGAAGGCUGGGCUGGGCCAGCCUGCGUUAGGAGGGCAGAGACUGUGAGAAAGCAAAGGAAGCCAGUCGUGAGAAAACAGAAACUGAAGCAGAGAGCAGUACUUGCAUCAAGCGAGAGUGCCUGAGCCCACCUUCCCUAGAUCCACCACGUGCCAACUUUGUGACUGCAGCAAGCUGCUCAGACCAGGAGAGCUGAGCACCUGGGAGUGGAAUAAUAGCAGUGCCCACCCUGCACAGCUCUGAAGACUAAAAUAUUCAUAAACAUUUUAGAAACUGC